UGCUGGGAGCUGUAGUCCUGGGGCACGGGGCUGCCGGGCGGCCAUGUUGGUCUCUGCAGUCUCUGCUCCAGCUGCGGCCCGCCUGAGUACAAGGAUGCAUGUAUGAAGGCAAAUCGAGGGUACAAGUGGUGCCCCACAGCAAACCAAGCUGCGAAAACCCAGACAUCCACUGUUACAAACAGGAAGAAGCUAUGGGCCUUUGCUUCAGACUCUGCAAAGGAUUUACCAAGCCCGAGGAAAGGGACAAAAAGUGACAAAAUGCCACAGCGUAACGUCAGGAUGGCAGAUCCGACACAAAUGGGAGGCCUGAGUAUGCUGCUUUUAGCAGGGGAACGUGCCCUGACUGCACAAGAGGUAAGGAACUCUCUUCUCUCCCUUACUGCGAGACCUCAGUUGAAAGAGAGCUCUGAGGAGGAAUAUGUGACCAGUGGGAAAUGUAAUUUACUUACAUACCUCAGGUGGGACUGAAGUGUGAGCCCUGUGAUAGGAGUCUUGUAUCCCAACCAUGAACGUAGAGGUUGGGCCCAGAUUUUGUAUCAGUUCAGUAUUAACUCUGCUGAGUGAGUAUUUGAUCAGAGCAGGCAAGAGUGCCCUCUGAGAGGACGUUGUCACAGGUGGAAGGCUUGAAAUGCAGUGAGUGUGUUAACACGGAGGUGGUUUGCAAACUCUUUUGGGCAAGGAUUUCAUCUGCUUGUGUAAUGCCUCACACAACUGUGGCCUUGGCACCAACAGCAAAAUAAAUACCUGAUAAUUUCCAUACAGUCAGUGUCAUUACGUGUGCAUUCUGAAGCCAUGCAAGUGCUAACAAGCCAUCAAAGUGUUGGCAGGAUAUUCCCAUUCCCUAAGUCUUUCGGUCUGAAAAGAAGUUUGUAGUUCAGUUGCCAUCACAAACAAUUUGGUUUUACAAAGGAUUCUAGUAAAUAAAAGUGUUCCCGUGUGUCUCCAGUAGUGCAGAGACCUCUGGUCUUUCUUUAGACAGGUUAAUAUUUAUGAUCUAUUUUUGGGGCAAACUUUGAAAAUUGUUCAAAAAGUGGUUAGUAUGUUGGGUAAAAUAGGUGGUCGCUGCCAUAAAUCUCUAGCCUGGAAAGAAGAGCUGUGGAAGCGAGGAGGGUUUCUUUUUUUUUUUUUCCCUCUUUUUUCUUUUUUCAUUGUUAUUGGGAGGAAAAGCAAUAAUUAACUCUCUCUCUGUGAUACCCGCAAAUGCCAAAUGUGUAGUGUGUUUGAGAUGGAUUGCUCCUGUACGGCCA